CAGUCGCCGCGGGAAUACGUAGGUCCCGAGCGUUGUCCGGAUUUAUUGGGCGUAAAGGGAGCGCAGGCGGUUUAGUAAGUCUGGAGUUAAAGGCAUUGGCUCAACCAAUGUAUGCUUUGGAAACUGUUUGACUUGAGUGCAGAAGGGGAGAGUGGAAUUCCAUGUGUAGCGGAGAAAUGCGCAGAUAUAUGGAGGAACACCGGUGGCGAAAGCGGCUCUCUGGUCUGUCACUGACGCUGAGGCUCGAAAGCGUGGGUAGCGAACAGGAUUAGAUACCCCCGUAGUCCCUGUCUCUUAUACA
rnacentral:rRNA from 1 species